GGGCCCGUAGCUCAGCACGGUAGAGCGGCGGGCUCCAGACCCGUAGGUCGGGGGUUCAAAUCCCUCCGGGCCCACCA
rnacentral:tRNA from 3 species